rnacentral:rRNA from 1 species
GACGAACGCUGGCGGCGUGCUUAACACAUGCAAGUCGAACGGAAAGGCCCUGCUUUUGUGGGGUGCUCGAGUGGCGAACGGGUGAGUAACACGUGAGUAACCUGCCCUUGACUUUGGGAUAACUUCAGGAAACUGGGGCUAAUACCGGAUAGGAGCUCCUGCUGCAUGGUGGGGGUUGGAAAGUUUCGGCGGUUGGGGAUGGACUCGCGGCUUAUCAGCUUGUUGGUGGGGUAGUGGCUUACCAAGGCUUUGACGGGUAGCCGGCCUGAGAGGGUGACCGGACACAUUGGGACUGAGAUACGGCCCAGACUCCUACGGGAGGAAGCAGUGGGGAAUAUUGCACAAUGGGCGGAAGCCUGAUGCAGCAACGCCGCGUGCGGGAUGACGGCCUUCGGGUUGUAAACCGCUUUCGCCUGUGACGAAGCGUGAGUGACGGUAAUGGGUAAAGAAGCACCGGCUAACUACGUG